rnacentral:rRNA from 1 species
UCAGACGAUGCGUCAUGCAUAUCAAUAAGCGGAGGAAAAGAAACUAACAAGGAUUCCCUCAGUAACGGCGAGUGAAGCGGGAAGAGCUCAAAUUUGAAAUCUUGAAAGGUCACCUUUCACGAAUUGUAGUUUAAAGAAGUGUUUUCUGUUACGAUCGUAAUAUAAGUUCUUUGGAAUAGGACAUCACAGAGGGUGAGAAUCCCGUCUAUGAUUGCGAUUUGUAGCUUUGUGAUACACUUUCAAAGAGUCGGGUUGUUUGGGAAUGCAGCCCAAAACGGGAGGUAAAUUUCUUCUAAGGCUAAAUAUUGGCGAGAGACCGAUAGCGAACAAGUACCGUGAGGGAAAGAUGAAAAGAACUUUGAAAAGAGAGUUAAAUAGUACGUGAAAUUGUCAAAAGGGAAGCGUUUAACACCAGUGUUGUUUUCUGAAAAUCAACCUCUGUUAGCUUUAUGCAUGUUUGUUUAGACCUAAUCAGCUAUCUUGCAUGUUCUAUUGUUUGCAGUGGUGCACUUUUCAGUUUACAGGUCAACAUCAGUUUUUUUUUACCGUAAAAAAGUUAAAGAAAGGUAGCUCAUGGCUCCGGUCGUGAGUGUUAUAGUCUUUUUCCUAUGCGGUAGGAGAGACUGAGGUCUGCAGUGUAGGCUAUUUGGCUAGAUACUCAGGUGCUAUGUGAUACCAUUUCAUAAACAACUUGUUGAUUAUGUUUUGUCUAUUGCAUACUCGCUUGUACUAUCAUACCUACGCUUAGGAUGUUGAAGACUCUACAGAGAUA